GAAUUUGUUGUGACGAUUGAAACUAUUAAAACAUGAUUUGUAAUUGUAAUAAUGCGUAAUAUUAGAAUACAUAAUCUCUGUUUUUUCUUUCUAGGUAAAGCCUUGAAUCGUCAACAUAUCAUAUAGUUGCUCUUGUCUCUGCCUCUAUCCACUGUUUUGUAUCUCAUGAAAGAAAACUAAAUAUGGACUCUUCUGUAGCUUUAAAUUCCUCAACACUCAUUCAUAUUUCCCCAUCCUCCACCAGAUAACAAUUUAUGCAAUCCUUUUUGGGAUUCGUCGGAACUGCUUAAAGCUCUUGAACUCGGACGAAAGAGGGGAGAAGGUGAAAGUUAAAAAGCAACUUCUUCUUUGUGUCGAAAUUUCAGCAAUAAUCAUAAAAGCUGAUUCAAUGUUCUGGAUAGAAAUCAAGGGAGUGUAUCUAUCUGCCUACUUGAAUAAUCACUGAAAUCACUAGGCUCUCAAAGUGAGUGAAUUUUCUUGAAUGUCUUAUGGUUUAUUAGGGUCCAUUUCAUGUCUUUGGUAAAUAUCUUAAACCUUUCAGCUCGGUGUUAUUUGUCUUUUAAAACCAUUACUUAAAUUGUUUGCAUGUACUUAGCUUAUAUAUUUGAACUACUUAUGCUCUAGUGAAUGGAACGGCUACUCAUUAAAAAGGGACCUAACUAUGCUCCACAAAGAAAGAAAUUUGCGCUUAUUUCAGGAUAUGGCACAAAGAUAGAAGAUAUGCUUGAUAAGGAAGUUGCUUACUGAGAAUACAAGGGAGGUUAGUGUUAAGAGGCUUAGUUUCACUAACUGUAAGGAUUGCCAACUACUGCUCAUGCUAGUUGGAAGAGGAAGAUGGAGGCAAGUGAUGAGGAGUGGCAUUUGUUGGCAAAAACUGAGGGGGGAAAGAUGUUAAUUGGAUAUCAUAUGAUUGGGAGACUCAGAUUAGAGAGGCGUUAAGAUGUUUAUAAAUGACUGUACCUUUAAGCAAGGUUAAUAUAUAUAACCUUUGACAUAUUAACGAGAUACACAAAAUAUGAUAUGUACCUUCCUUCUUA